GACGAACCGUGCGAACGUUGUUCGGAAUCACUGGGCUUAAAGGGCGCGUAGGCGGGUUCGCAAGUCUGUGGUGAAAGCCCCCAGCUUAACUGGGGAAGUGCCGUGGAUACUGCGAAUCUUGAGGAGGGUAGGGGCGUCUGGAACGGUCGGUGGAGCGGUGAAAUGCGUUGAUAUCGACCGGAACUCCGGUGGCGAAGGCGAGGCGCUGGACCAACACUGACGCUGAUGAGCGAAAGCCAGGGGAGCAAACGGG
rnacentral:rRNA from 1 species